AUUGAACGCUGGCGGCAGGCUUAACACAUGCAAGUCGAGCGAGCGGCGGAUGGGUGAGUAAUGUCUGGGAAACUGCCUGAUGGAGGGGGAUAACUACUGGAAACGGUCGCCAAUACCGCAUACUCUCAUAUGUUCCCAGAUGGGAUUGGCUAGUUGGUGGGGUAUUGGCUCACCUAGGCGAAGAUCCCUAGCUGGUCUGAGAGGAUGACCAGCCACACUGGAACUGAGACACGGCCCAGACUCCUACGGGAGGCAGCAGUGGGGAAUAUUGCACAAUGGGCGCAAGCCUGAUGCAGCCAGGCGGCGUGUGUGAAGAAGGCCUUCGGGUUGUAAAGCACUUUCAGCGAGGAGGCGUUACUCGCAGAAGAAGCACCGGCUAACUCCGUGCCAGCAGCCGCGGUAAUUC
rnacentral:rRNA from 1 species